CUAUUGAACAAGGAUUCAAAUGGUUCAAACAAUGAUCGUAAAUUGCAUCGUAUGAAGGCUAUGUUUAAGUUCUGUCCAGAUUUUAACAUUGUAUUGUACUAAAUAUAGAUUUCUUAAACUGUUUUAUAUUUUGGUUUGAUAUUUUUAUUUCAGCUGUUGAAAUCCAUUCUUACCAAGAAAUCAGGUGGAGAAAUAUAUAAUAAAUGAAUACAACCAAACUAAGUCCUUGACAGAACAGAGCAGAAGAAAAUUGGUGGUGAAUAUACUGUCAGCUGAGAUGCCGGAGAAGAAUGGUACUUCUCCGUCAAGACAGGUGAAGGAAAUGUAUGCACAAGGAAUUGUGAACUUGUUCCCCAACCUCAGAGACCCAUUUUCCAAGAAUGGCUAUGAACAUUUUUAUGGAGAAUAAAAACUAUUCAGAGAUGCAGUGCUAAAAAAAGGCGAUCAUCAUUUGGAGCUUUGGCGGAAGGAUCAUCUGAUGAAGACAAGUCGGGAGGACCAACUGUUGGACGAGUUACCCAAUUCCAUCCAGAGAUUGUCCUGUCUUGGAAGCGAUGUCACUGAUGAAACAUUCGGCUGACGUGGACAUGGUCAUCAAAAAGAUGAAGCUGACAUGUGCCCAUCGGCAUAGCAUGGUCCUGGACCAACAGCAGUCAAGCAACAUUCUAUCUUAUUUUCCUCGUUUUAAAGACAUCAAUGGCUUGGUUGGGACAGCGACCUCUCAUCAAUUUUGCUGCUCUUACACUUGAUCCCACCGACUGAUCUAGGUCGGAAGAGGCCAGAAGAAGUUUCUGCAUCCCGGGCUGAGAAGCAUCUUGUGGUCUUCAAAAAGACUGGAUAAAGCAUCCUAGAACAUCUUGACACCAUUAUUACCACCACUCAACCCUAUCUCCUGGCUGUUGGAGUGAGGAAGAAUACAAUCCACGAGUUCUUCAUAAUUCUCGACAAGAAUGCCGUACCUUGCAGGUCACACUCCUCUCUUGGUGCUUUUGAUUAACUGUUUAAAGCACACUUUGUGUUUGCGACAUCAUACCACACAAUGCUCCACAACAUGUACACAUUCAUGCCUUACUCCAAACCAUUUGAUGUUCAAAUGGCGUGUGUAACAUCAUGUUCCACAUUGUAUGUUGUCCCAUAUUGCCAUUUCAUGCAGACCUAAGUUCACCCUUUAUGUAUUCUCUCCCUAAAGUUGAUUGUCCUGCCUGACAAAUAAAUAAAGGUUACUAAACGUAUGAUAUUGUAUUACUGUGUUUUGCACUCACUUGCUAUUUACAAGACAAAGUUGGUGAGACUUAAUUUGACACUGCACAAGAGUAAAUCAAGUAGAAUGAGCACCAUUUUUUUUUUUUCAGAAAUAGUGUGAGGUUUUAUAAAAACUGCAAUGU